AUAACCCCCAUUCCAGUAGCUUCCGUCUUUCUCUCUCACACUAGAUCCAAACCCUUCAAAGCUGAAGAUACGCAAUUUCGAAGAGAGAUUCGUUUAAUUGCCAAGGGUCAUUGUAGUUGUCAUGUGAGACUUUGUUUUGAUCAAGAAAGUUUAAAUGGCUGGUGGAACAGCUCCCCCAAGAGGAAGUGCAGCAGCUGCCGCAAGCCUGCGUAGGAGGAGAACGACAAGUGGUGCAGCCUCAGGAGGGGCAGCUGGGACCAUGCUCCAGUUUUACACGGAUGAUGCUCCAGGCCUCAAGAUCUCUCCAAAUGUUGUGCUUGUCAUGAGUAUCGGUUUCAUAGCUUUUGUUGCCAUUCUUCAUGUCAUGGGUAAGCUGUAUUUUGUUCGUAGAGAGGCUUGAAAGUGUGCCAAACAAUAGAACUAAAUCCAACAGGGUUAAUUUGAGAUCAAUCACAAGGUUUUUUUUAAUGAAAAAUGAGUCUUUUGUCAAGAUUCAGUAUAUUUUCAAUGCUUAAAAUAGGUUAAGUUGUCAUUGCUCAGUUUACUUGAGGAAGAUACUGUAAUUCAUAUUCAUAUUUUAUCAGUUUUUAGCUCAAGUUCAAUGGAGAACCAGAACUGCUAUAGCUCAUCUGUUAAAACAUGACGAAUGCAAUAACAAAGAUGUGGAAGUUUAUUACCAUAA